AAAAUAUCCUAAAAACGCCUUCCACGUCGUAACUUUAACAAAUCUCCGCCAAAUCACACUUUAACCGAGCGUGUAGAAAACUUUUAAAACGGAAAUAGAAUAAACGGAAACAAAACAGCAUAGGGCAAAUGGAAAGGAGCCGGAAAUCCUGGCUAAGGUUUACAGCGAUGCAAGACUUCCGAGAGCAGCCCUGAUCAAUACAACGACUUUUAGAGCAAAACUAGCAGCGCAAAGCGGCAGCAAUCUGGCCAAAAAACGAAAUAACGCUCGUCUGAAUACAAUCUACACCUAUAGGGAGAAGUACGGACUGACAAAAUGCAGUUUUAUCGCCUCAGAAUGGAUACCCACCGUAUGUUUGUGGCUUGGACAGCGCUAACAAGAAAACUCCAGAAACAUCCUUCUGUGGCAGCCUAGCGUUUAUGGAAACUAGCUAAUGCCGUCAGUGUGGCUCUGAGGUGGGCGGCCUCUUCCCAGCAAGCUGACUAGGAGUAAACAACAGCUAGCUAGGUUAGCUGUGCUAGCUGAGCUACAAAAUAGCGGGAACACUCCGAGCACGAAGGACGGGCUGCUUUUACAGGACCACAAAUGUAGCACGCUUUCCUUUAGUUGACAUAGUUAUCUCCGAAAUAUCCGUACCUUUUAAAACUCAGGCCUUGAGAGAUCUUGAAGUAUGUCAAACUGUGGUAGAUAAGCAGCCAAAAUUCACACAGUCGAAUCGUAUCAUGCAAGUUUUUUGGCCAACUACACUCUCAGUGAGGAGGGGCGGAGACUAACUGGCAAAACUGAAGUUACCUUAAAAUGUGUACAAAUGUUCAUUCACCACAUUGAUAAAGUUGCCCUGCACGUUUACCUGUCAACCUUAAAUGUCACGGUGGCCAUCUGUUUAAACUUCAGCAUAAUAUUCCCACAUGUUCCACCAAUUCACUAACAUGCUUUGUGCCAUCUUGCACUCUCUUAGGUUGUGUUUAUUUGGAAAUUGCUCAUGUUUGCUAAAAAGUGAAUGAGUGAAUAUGAGGACGAUCUGUAUAACUGGGUCAACAAUUUGAAGUGACCCAGUUCGGAUAUUUGUAACUGUUUGGAUGUUUUGCAUAUUUUAAUAAGAGUCCCAGGGGCAAGAAUGAGCUGUGUGUACAUAUUAAGCCUCACUCAGUUUUUCCCUUUUGGCAAUAUGCCUCAUAUCAGUGUAACAUAUUAUAUGAGUUAAAACUAACUUUUGACAAAGUCUUUAGGCCUCUAAAGGGUAUCAGUGGGGUCUUGUUGAGAGUUUUGUGUCUAAAUAUGUUGGAUAACAUCUAUGUGGUUGGCUUUAUAAGUGUCAUCAUCAUUAUUAUUAUUAUUAAUAUUGCUGGUCACUUUGUUCUUGUAGACUUGCAAUGAAGAGACAAGACAAUAUUUGAUUCAGUUUUGUUUGUUUAUUGCCAAUUCAUAACAUAUGACAUCUCAAGGCACUUCAUGUAGUAAGGUGAAGGCGUAGCUGAAUUAUAUAAAGGGAUUCAUUUUCUUUACGUACCAGUAAGUGAGCAGACACUUGGCAAUAGUGGAAUAAAAAAAAACUAUCACCUUUAUGGCCAAGAAACCUCUGGUAAACCCAAUCACAGGAAAGGUGGCCAUCUGCUUUGCACAGUGGAGGUGAGGGUGAAGGGAAGAAAGAAAAUGAUAACCGAUAGAAAACCGAAGAACACUUGGGAAGUCAGAUGUGCAGCUUCACAGCCAGAGAUACCUGCAAAGAAUAUCUGUUCGGUGAUGUGUUCUUUACAAAGAUAAGGCGUUUUAUGCUAACCUCAAAGCUCCAAAUUUCUCUUAAUAUACAGCAUUACUGAUGUCUCACCUUAUUGAAUCAUCUGUAGAUUUGUUAUGUUACAUUUCUGUUUAAUGUGGAAAUAAACAUCUUAUUGACAAAUAA